GUGCUUGCUUCGGCAGCACAUAUAGUAAUAUUGGGACGAUACACAGAAGAUUAGCGUGGCCCCUGCGCAAGCAUGACAGGCAAAUUGGUGAAGCAUUCCAUAUUUUU
ensembl:snRNA U6 U6 spliceosomal RNA